rnacentral:rRNA from 1 species
AGUGAACGCUGGCGGUAGGCCUAACACAUGCAAGUCGAACGGCAGCACAGGAGAGCUUGCUCUCUGGGUGGCGAGUGGCGGACGGGCGAGGAAUACAUCGGAAUCUACUUUUUCGUGGGGGAUAACGUAGGGAAACUUACGCUAAUACCGCAUACGACCUACGGGUGAAAGCAGGGGAUCUUCGGACCUUGCGCGAUUGAAUGAGCCGAUGUCGGAUUAGCUAGUUGGCGGGGUAAAGGCCCACCAAGGCGACGAUCCGUAGCUGGUCUGAGAGGAUGAUCAGACACACUGGAACUGAGACACGGUCCAGACUCCUACGGGAGGCAGCAGUGGGGAAUAUUGGACAAUGGGCGCAAGCCUGAUCCAGCCAUACCGCGUGGGUGAAGAGGGCCUUCGGGUUGUAAAGCCCUCUUGUUGGGAAAGAAAUCCAGCUGGCUAAUACCCGGUUGGGAUGACGGUACCCAAAGAAUAAGCACCGGCUAACUUCGUGCCAGCCGCCGCCGUAA